rnacentral:rRNA from 1 species
CAGCCGCCGCGGUAAUACAGAGGAUUUAAGCGUUAUCCGGAAUGAUUGGGCGUAAAGCGUCUGUAGGUGGCUUUUCAAGUCCGUCGUCAAAUCCCAGGGCUCAACCCUGGACAGGCGGUGGAAACUACCAAGUUGGAGUACGAUAGGGGCAGAGGGAAUUUCCGGUGGAGCGGUGAAAUGCGUUGAGAUCGGAAAGAAUACCAACGGCGAAAGCACUCUGCUGGGCCGACGUUGACACUGAGAGACGAACGCUAGGGGAGAAAAUGGGAUUAGAUACCCCUGUAGUCCCUGUCUCUUAUAC